rnacentral:tRNA from 1 species
GUUCCUGUAGUUGAGAACAACAGUGGCUUUUCAACCGUUAGGUCCUUGGGGUUUAAUCCAAGCGGGAAUA